rnacentral:tRNA from 1 species
ACCAGGAUGGCCGAGUGGUUAAGGCGUUGGACUUAAGAUCCAAUGGACGUAUGUCCGUGUGGGUUCGAACCCCACUUCUGGUA